ensembl:lncRNA
CAGCAGUGAAAGCUGUCAGCACCUUUCUUUCAUUCCGCUGUGGCGACACCGAAUCCCAUAUGGGAUCUAUGAUAUCCUGGUCUAUCAAGUGGGAUCGUAACCAGGUCUUUGAGCGUAGCUCAAAUGAAGUGAGUCUGUUUUGGGGUUACAUCUACAGAGAGAAGAGAGGCUUCCUGUCUAUCUGUCACCAGCCUAUAAAACAGGCUUCCUGCUCGCUUCAGGAUGACACCUUUGAUGACAUGGUCUUCGAUUCACUCAACAAAUGGGCUGAAUGCAGUUUUAUGGACAGUAGUGAAUGCACCCUCAGGCUCUCCCUCUCUCAUCUGAGUCGGAUAGAAAAUGUACUGGAGGCUGAUGGCUCCUCUGAGGAUUCUUCAGACAUCACCUGUGCUGGGUCUUGCCAUGAGCAGGCCACUGCCUGUAGAGGUGGCAACACCAAAAGCAGGGAGGAUGGAGACCUGAGUGUCACCACAAGUCAUGGCUCAGGUCAACCAAAGAUCUCUCUUUGGGCGCAGCUACCGUUGGAUCGCCUGCCAUGCAGUGAGCCCAUGGAUGAUAUGGAGCCUUCGGCAACAUCUACUUUUAACCAGGCCAACCAAGAACAAUCGCAGGGACCCAAGACAGUCAGUCUGUCACAUUGUGAGAGACGCAUCAAAAACAAAGUUGCGCACAAGCGCUGGAGACUGGGCUUCUUGAUGAUCAAAAUUGUGAGGAUGCUGCUGCCAGCAAGGCUUAAAACACAAACGCCAACUUCUCUCAGAGUCA